rnacentral:rRNA from 1 species
UCCUCAGAUCAGUCGAGAUUACCCGCUGAACUUAAGCAUAUCACUAAGCGGAGGAAAAGAAACUAACCAGGAUUCCCCUAGUAACGGCGAGUGAACCGGGAAGAGCUCAAGCUGAAAAUCUUCGGAAUUGUAGUCUAUAGGUGCAGACUCGUGCAACUUCGGGUGUAAAUCCGUUCAUGGAACUGGGUGCCAGAGAGGGUUAGAGCCCCGUCUUCGACCCUGAAUGUUGUGCGUGGCGAGCAGGCACCAGCGAGUCGGCUUGCUUGGGAAUGCAGGUCAAAAUGGGUGGUAAACUUCAUCUAAAGCUAAAUAUUGGCGAGAGACCGAUAGCGAACAAGUACUGUGAAGGAAAGAUGGAAAGAACUUUGAAAAGAGAGUGAAAAAGGGCUUGAAAUUGUUAAGAGGAGAAGUGAUUGGAGCAUAUCAUACUAUCAAAGACAAAUGGCAGGGAUUUAUCCUCGCAAUGAAGCCUUUGGUAGUUGGUCAGCAUCAGUUUGAGGUUGGGGAGACUACAUUUACCAUGAAACCUAGUGAUUGAUAAGUGGGAAACCCAGCCUGAGACUGAGGCACAAAGAACGCGCACAGCGCCCGGCCUAAAUCCUUCUAUAUUGUAGUCCAACACUCUUCGGAGUGUUGUCUGCACUGUGGUUGAUAUUUGGGUUGCAGGAUCUGCGUUCUGAAGAUGCUGGCACAAUGGCUUCAAUCAGCCCGUCUUGGAACACGGACCAAGGAGUCUAACACGUAUGCAAGUAGUAAGGUGGCAAACCUUGGAUGCGCAAUGAAAGUAAACGUAGGUGGGAUUCGUAAGAUGCACCAUCGACCGACCAGGAUCAUCAGUGAAAGGUUUGAGUAAGAGCAUAUUUGUUGGGACCCGAAAGAUGGUGAACUAUGCCUGAAUAGGGUGAAGCCAGAGGAAACUCUGGUGGAGGCUCGUAGCGGUACUGACGUGCAAAUCGUUCGUCAAAUUUGGGUAUAGCGGCGAAAGACUAAUCGAACCAUCUAGUAGCUGGUUCCCUCCGAAGUUUCCCUUAGGAUAGCUGGAGCUCAUACAAGUUUUAUCAGGUAAAGCGAAUGAUUAGAGGAUUCGGGGAAGUAAUUUCCUCGGCCGAUUCUCAAACUUUAAACGGGUAAGGAGGGUGGGUUGCUUGAAUGAACCCUAUCCGGACGAUGCGCGCUCUUAGUGGGCCAUUUUUGGUAAGCAGAACUGGCGAUGCGGGAUGAACCGAAAGCGAUGUUAAGGCGCCCAACUAUGCACUCAUUUAGACCCCAUGAAAGGUGUGGAUGCGUAUGGACAGCAGGAAGGUGGUCAUGGAGGUCGACAUCCGCUAAGGAGUGUGUAACAACUCACCUGCCGAAUGCAUCAGCCCUGAAAAUGGAUGGCGCUCAAGUGUGUGGCCGAUACAUCGCCGUUGAGACAGGGCUUAAGUCUCAAUGAGUAGGAGGGCGUCGGGCUCGUAUAGAAGCCUUGGGCGUGAGCUCGGGUGGAACGGGUUCGAGUGCAGAUCUUGGUGGAAGUAGCGAAUAUUCAAGCGAGAACCUUGAGGACUGGAGUGGAGAAGGGUUCCAUGUACACAGCGAUUGGACAUGGGUGAGUCGAUCCUAAGAGAUUGGGUAAUUCCGUGAGAGAAGUGCGUAGAGCGCAAUCCAUCGAAAGGGAAACGGGUUAAUAUUCCCGUACCAAGAAGCGGGGUAGACGCGGUAACGCAAAUGAACCCGGGGACGCCGGCGUAAACUCUGGAGAGAGUUCUCUUUUCUACUUAACAGACCUGCUAACCAUGGAAUCGGGUUAACCGGAGAAAUGGUAGUACGGCUGGAAGAACGGCACCCUCGUGUGUUGUCUGGUAUGUUUUCGUCGGUCCUUGAAAACCCGGGGGAAAAUACUGACCUUCGUACUUGGUCGUACCCAGAACCGCAUCAGGUCUCCAAGGUGAGUAGCCUCGAGUCGGUAGACGAAGGUGAGUAAGGGAAGUCGGCAAAAUAGAUCCGUAACUUCGGGA